rnacentral:rRNA from 1 species
UACAGAGGGGGCGAGCGUUGUUCGGAAUUACUGGGCGUAAAGGGCGCGUAGGCGGCCUGUUAAGUCGGACGUGAAAUCCCCGGGCUCAACCCGGGAACUGCGUCCGAUACUGGCAGGCUUGAAUCCGGGAGAGGGAUGUGGAAUUCCAGGUGUAGCGGUGAAAUGCGUAGAUAUCUGGAGGAACACCGGUGGCGAAGGCGGCAUCCUGGACCGGCAUUGACGCUGAGGCGCGAAAGCGUGGGGAGCAAACAGG